rnacentral:rRNA from 1 species
GCAAAACGCGAAGAACCUUACCUAGGCUUGAACUCCUACGAAUCCGGGGUAAUGCCUGGAGUGUCCGCAAGGAAAUGUAGUGAGAGGUGCUGCAUGGCUGUCGUCAGCUCGUGUUGUGAAAUGUUGGGUUAAGUCUCGCAACGAGCGCAACCCCUAUCGUCUGUUGCCAGCAUUAAGUUGGGCGACUCUGACGAGACUGCCUGGGUUAACCAGGAGGAAGGUAGGGAUGACGUCAAGUCCUCAUGGCCCUUAUGUCUAGGGCUACACACGUAAUACAAUGGCGCGUACAGAGGGAAGCGAACUCGCGAGGGGGAGCAAAUCUCAAAAAGCGCGUCUCAGUCCGGAUUGGAGUCUGCAACUCGACUCCAUGAAGUUGGAAUCGCUAGUAAUCGGAGAUCAGCACGCUCC